AAAGGAAGUGCAGAUGAUCAUACUUCUAUGUUACUUCAUUUGGUGCCCGAAAUUUUAGUUGUGCUCUCCGCGAUCUUGUUGAUCCUUUACGAAGUGUGUCCCAGGACGCCUUUUAUCAUAACAUUUGUGUGCAUUAAUGGGGUCUAUAUUAUCUAUUUUAUCAUUAUAACCAUUGUAACAGUGUUAAUUCGCACAAAUAUUAUUGUUAACUCUGCUGGGCUAUUCAUUCAUCUGUAUUGGCCGCUUUGCGUUG